UGGCGGACGGGUGAGUAAUGUCUGGGAAACUGCCCGAUGGAGGGGGAUAACUACUGGAAACGGUAGCUAAUACCGCAUAACGUCGCAAGACCAAAGAGGGGGACCUUCGGGCCUCUUGCCAUCGGAUGUGCCCAGACGGGAUUAGCUAGUAGGUGGGGUAACGGCUCACCUAGGCGGCGAUCCCUAGCUGGUCUGAGAGGAUGACCAGCCACACUGGAACUGAGACACGGUCCAG
rnacentral:rRNA from 1 species